UCUGUAGUGGCCUCACAGUCCUUCCGGCACACAACCCUCCCCUCCGCGGUCCGCCGCCGCAUUCACAUGGGAACUCGGACAAAGAGCGGCACAACCAAGGUCAUCCCUUCUGGUUUCCAACUUUAACAAGAUUCUAGUGUCAAGAAUGUAGUCAUUUCAGCUGACAAAUGAGCCCUAAAAAAUAGGGAGAAAUCUGACAGAAACAUGUUGUCGUACUUUCAGCAUAAGUGGUACAUUAAUUAGCCCAAUAAUAUUUAAGAGUACUUAGUAGAGUGUGUAAUUAACAAGUUAACACAAGGCAAUUAGCAGCUCAUUUAUAUUACACAAGAAGGUCUCUCCUUCUCAAUUUAUAAACCCGAUGAAAAUAAGAGUUGACUGCAUUCCUAACCCCCCCUUUUUUAUUUUUUAUUUUAUUUUUGCCACUACAUCCUGUCAGGGGAGAUUCCUCCAGGCAUCACAAGCAGGUGGUUGAUCUUUUUUCCUAAGAUGCAAAACGUUUAGGGGAGCUUGUGAUCCCCUGUAAUGAUGUGUGGCAGCUUCUUCAAGGCUCCUGUAUAGAUGUUUCACAGCACUUUCAAUGACAGCCUGGACAGAUGUGAGGAUUUUAUUAUUUGUGUUGUUAGGAUGCACCCUUCAAUAGAAGGCUACUAUCAUCUCAUCAAAUGAGUCCUCUCCCUUCCCGCCUGCUCCCCAUCUUCAUGGCGCAGUAAGGUGGACACACACAUGGCCGGAGCCGAAUGCGGACCUGGAGCUCCGGCGGCACCAACUCUCCCAGCCUUAAAAACUGGAGAAAACGCGAUUCGGUUCCGCGUAUCGCUGUCUUAUCGCUGUCUUACCUGGACGGACGACGUCUCAACGGCAACUUGGGGACUUUUUUCAGGCACACGUCGGUGGCGGCAGCAUCCUCCGCGAUUUGUUCAGCCGAAGGUUUGAAGUAAUUGAGAUUCCCUCGGUUUAAUUAAUCCUCCGUGGACGAGAAAACACGGCCAGAAGUGGAUGAGCUGACAGGGAACAAGCUCCGGUGUGUAAACGCUUAGCCGCCUUUUUUUACUGUAAUGUUUAUUUGUUUUUUUUCCUCAAUUCAAAUAAGCAUAAACGCCGUAUGGAUGUCUAACUGUUUUAUGUUUUCCUCCCCCUCUCGUUCCUCGUUUCUCUUAGGCUGAGGACUAACUCUUUUUUUUUUUUUUUUCCUCAAAUAAAGGCGGGGUCUUUGGUCUUUUAAGCCAAUGACAUUUACCAAAACGAGAAAGCCCCCACGCCUUUUUCCUGCCACUCUUCAGCCACCUUUCGGAGGUAGAAGUACGGAAGGGGGUGAGGGCCAAAUAAAACUAAAUUAAUGUAAA